GAUGAACGCUAGCGGCAGGCCUAACACAUGCAAGUCGAGGGGUAUAAGUCUUCGGACUUUGAGACCGGCGCACGGGUGCGUAACGCGUAUGCAAUCUACCUUGUACAGAGGGAUAGCCCAGAGAAAUUUGGAUUAAUACCUCAUAGUAUAUUUGAAUGGCAUCAUUUAAAUAUUAAAGUUCCAACGGUACAAGAUGAGCAUGCGUCCCAUUAGUUAGUUGGUGUGGUAACGGCACACCAAGACGAUGAUGGGUAGGGGUCCUGAGAGGGAGAUCCCCCACACUGGUACUGAGACACGGACCAGACUCCUACGGGAGGCAGCAGUGAGGAAUAUUGGUCAAUGGAGGCAACUCUGAACCAGCCAUGCCGCGUGCAGGAUGACGGUCCUAUGGAUUGUAAACUGCUUUUAUACGGAAGAAAAAGAGUUACGUGUAACUUAUUGACGGUACCGUAAGAAUAAGGAUCGGCUAACUCCGUGCCAGCAGCCGCAGUAA
rnacentral:rRNA from 1 species